GCCGGGCAUGAUGGCACAUGUCUGUAAUCCCAGCAGCUUGGGAGGCUGAGGCAGGAGGAUCAUGAGUUCAAAGCCAGCCUCAGCAAUUUAUCGAGGUUCUAAGCAAUUUAGUGAGACCCUGUCUCUA
rnacentral:sRNA from 1 species